UGGAACUUGGGGUUCUCUUGUCUCAACUUCCUGAGUAGCUGGGAUUACAGGCAUGUACCACCACCCCUGAAAUUUUUAAUUAAGACAGUGAGAAUCUAGAAUUCAGGCUGAAACUUGGAUGGUAAUGUAUGAUUAUGAAAUCAUGGUGAAUAUAAUUAAAGCUGGGAAAUGAGAAGAGAUUAGUCAUUGCUAGUAUAAAGAGAUGGUAUCCAAGGAUGAAGCCCUGGGACAUUCAGAAGGGGAACAAUCAGCAACAAAACUUGAGAUUAGCCAAAAAAUGGAGGAAACCAAAGCAUCUUUUUUUUCCCCUUGGUACUGGGGAUCAAACUCAGGACCUUGCACUUGUGAGGCAGGCGGUGCCACUGAUCUGCAUCCCCAGCCCUAAGGCAUCUUGAAAACCGGGUGAGAAAAAUGUAUUCAGGUAGGAAGGGGAGAUGAAACAUGUCAAAGUGGGCUGGGGAUUUAGCUCAGUGGUUCCGGUGCCUGCCUCACAAGCACAAGGUCCCAAGUUCGAUCCCCAGUACCAAAAGAAAAAGUAAAUAAAUAAAAAAAAAAGAAACAUGUCAAAGCCCUACUACAUUGGCUCAGAUGAGGACUGAUAAUUGAUGAUUGGAUUUAGCCAUGUGGAGGGCAGAGGUGAUCCUGGCAAGAUUAACUUCAGUGGAGUAUUUGGGUUACCAGCCUUACUGGAGUGGGCCUAAGAGAAUGAAAGGACUUGGGAAUGAGUAUGGAGUACUUUUUUUGGAAGAUAUUUGCUGUGAAGAAGAUUAGAGAAUUAAGGUUGGAGCUGGCGGAAUUUAAUGAAAGCUUCUUAUUGUUUUGUUUUUUUAAAGACGAGAACGCUAUAGAAGUAUCACACCAUCUCAAAAUUUGUUAUAAUUUCUUUCAGGUGAUUAGUGGGUCCCCAAAGCCCUCUGUGAAUCUGCAGUUUACAAGCUCCUGCCCUGUAACUUACUGGCGGCGAAACUACUGAGCUAAAUCCCCAGCCCUCCUUUUCUUCCAG
rnacentral:lncRNA from 1 species